rnacentral:rRNA from 1 species
UACAGAGGUCUCGAGCGUUGUUCGGAUUCAUUGGGCGUAAAGGGCGCGUAGGCGGCGGGGUAAGUCUGGUGUGAAAUCUCGGAGCUCAACUCCGAAAUUGCACUGGAUACUGCUCUGCUAGAGGGCUGGAGAGGAGAUCGGAAUUCACGGUGUAGCAGUGAAAUGCGUAGAUAUCGUGAGGAAGACCAGUGGCGAAGGCGGAUCUCUGGACAGCUCCUGACGCUGAGGCGCGAGGGCUAGGGGAGCAAACGGG